rnacentral:rRNA from 1 species
GAUGAACGCUAGCGGCGUGCCUAAUACAUGCAAGUCGAGCGAACAGACGAGGAGCUUGCUCCUCUGACGUUAGCGGCGGACGGGUGAGUAACACGUGGAUAACCUACCUAUAAGACUGGGAUAACUUCGGGAAACCGGAGCUAAUACCGGAUAAUAUAUUGAACCGCAUGGUUCAAUAGUGAAAGACGGUUUUGCUGUCACUUAUAGAUGGAUCCGCGCCGCAUUAGCUAGUUGGUAAGGUAACGGCUUACCAAGGCAACGAUGCGUAGCCGACCUGAGAGGGUGAUCGGCCACACUGGAACUGAGACACGGUCCAGACUCCUACGGGAGGCAGCAGUAGGGAAUCUUCCGCAAUGGGCGAAAGCUUGACGGAGCAACGCCGCGUGAGUGAUGAAGGUCUUCGGAUCGUAAAACUCUGUUAUUAGGGAAGAACAAAUGUGUAAGUAACUAUGCACGUCCUGACGGUACCUAAUCAGAAAGCCACGGCUAACUACGUG